GGGGCUGACCUGGUUUUGACAGCAAGGUAAAUGAUUGUGUAAGCAUGUCGGGCAAUGUGGAUAAUCCCGUAAAACUUUUUCGCAGACAAUUAAAUGGCGCAGAUAAUUAUGCUUUCGCUGCUUAAUCGAAUUACAGUAGGUUAAACUUAAUUCCGGUACAAGGUACCGGAACGAAAUAUCCCUCGAUUGGACCGUCCGGUUCCGCUUCGGCCAAGGGGUAGCAAAAAAUACCGGAAUAGCAUUUGUGAAACUUCGGCACGAAAGCGAAAUUUAAGAAGAUAAGGUUUAGGUUUGGGUGUCUGUUCCCGGAUCUUUUCCCGACAAUCAAUAAUAGAAUAAACAUGUAGAAAGCACCUUUGUUUCUUGUUUGGACCCGGGUUCGAUUCCCGGCAGCUCCACUU
rnacentral:tmRNA from 1 species